UCGAUUGAACGAGAAAAGGUACUCAUUGCAAAGUUAUACUGUUAGGGCAUAACUGAGUAGUCUAAUGUUGUUCCGGUUUUGGUUCUUGUCAAGGUUGACAUCAAUUCGUUCCAAAUUUACACUCUCAGGGCAUAAUAGAACAAUAUAAUUGGCUUUUACUCUUUGUUCGAUUGAAUGAGAAAAAGUCCUCGUUGCAAAGUUAUACUGUUAGGGCGCAACUGAGUAGUCUAAUGUUGUUCUAGUUUUCUAUCUUCUGACCAUAGACAUCACUUCGUUCCAAAUUUACAUUCUCAGUUCAUAAUAGAACAAUAUAAUUAGCUUUUACUCUUUUUUCGAUUGAUUGAGAAAAAGUACUCGUUGCAAAGUUAUACUGUUAGGGCGCAACUGAGUAAUCUAAUGUUGUUCCGAUUUUCGUUCUUUUCAACGUUGACAUCGAUUCGUUCUAAAUUAACAAUCUCGGGGCAUAAUAGAACACUAUAAUUAGCUUUUGCUCUUUGUUUGAUUGAAGGAGAAAAGGUACUCGUUGCAAAGUUAUACUGUUAGGGCGCAACUGAGUAGUCUAAUGUUGUUCCAGUUUUGGUUCUUGUCAACGUUGACAUCGAUUCGUUCUAAAUUAACAAUCUCGGGGCAUAAUAGAGCAAUAUAAUUAGCUUUUACUCUUUGUUCGAUUGAAUGAGAAAAGGUACUCGUUGCAAAGUUAUACUGUUAGGGCGCAACUGAGUAGUCUAAUGUUGUUCCGGUUUCGGUUCUUUUCAACGUUGACAUCGAUUCUUUCUAAAUUAACAAUCUCGGGGCAUAAUAGAACAAUAUAAUUAGCUUUUACUCUUUGUUCGAUUGAACGAGAAAUGGUACUCGUUGCAAUGUUAUACUGUUAGGGCGCAACUGAGUAGUCUAAUGUUGUUCCGAUUUUGGUUCUUGUUAACGUUGACAUCGAUUCGUUCUAAAUUAACAAUCUCGGGGCAUAAUAGAACAAUAUAAUUAGCUUUUACGCUUUGUUCGAUUGAAUGAGAAAAGGUACACGUUGCAAAGUUAUACUGGUAGGGCGCAACUGACUAGUCUAUUGUUGCUCCGGUUUUGGUUCUUAUAAAGGUUGACAUCAAUCCGUUCCAAAUUUACACUCUUAGGGCAUAAUAGAACAAUAUAAUUGGCUUUUACUCUUUGUUCGAUUGAAUGAGAAAAAGUACUCGUUGCAAAUUUAUACUGUUAGGGCGCAACUGAGUAGUCUAAUGUUGUUCCAGUUUUCUAUCUUCUGAACAUAGACAACGCUUUGUUCCAAAUUUACAUUCUUAGUGCAUAAUAGAACAAUAUAAUUAGCUUUUACACUUCGUUCGUUUGAUGGAG
rnacentral:lncRNA from 1 species